rnacentral:piRNA from 1 species
GUCACGCUUUGUGUUGUAUCUGCCCUGUA